GACGAACGCUGGCGGCGUGCUUAACACAUGCAAGUCAAGGGGGCCCGCAAGGGUAACCGGCGAACGGGUGCGUAACACGUGAGCAAUCUGCCUCGAUGUGGGGGAUAGCCGGCCCAACGGCCGGGUAAUACCGCAUACGCUCUCUGGGUGGCAUCACUUGGAGAGGAAACAUUUUUGGCAUUGAGAGGAGCUCGCGGCCUAUCAGCUAGUUGGUGGGGUAAUGGCCUACCAAGGCUUUGACGGUAGCUGGUCUGAGAGGAUGGCCAGCCACAUUGGGACUGAGAUACGGCCCAGACUCCUACGGGAGGCAGCAGUGGGGGAAUAUUGCGCAAUGGGCGAAAGCCUGACGCAGCGACGCCGCGUGGGUGAUGAAGGCC
rnacentral:rRNA from 1 species